CCCCAGGUUGGAGCCAAUUAACACCACAUGCUCCGUGUUCCCAUCUUUCAAAGGGAUUGGUAUUAGAUCUUCGAUUGGGCCGCCCCUCUCUUCAGUGAGGUCAUCGCGAGCAUCCAAUCCAUCGACCGGACAGGGGUCCGCUUGAUCGCUUCUUUGCAAGGCGAUGUUGUAGCAAUGUCUGGCCAGGGCUUGGUCUCCCCGGACCUCUCCGAUCCCCUGGUUGGUGGGGAACUUCAAUUUCAAAUGGUAGGUUGAAACGACAGCUCUGAGGGCAUUGAGGCCGGGUCGGCCAAGGAUUGCAUUAUAGGCAGAUGGCGCCUUUACCACCAAGAAAUUUACCAGAGCUCUGGACUGCUUUGGAUACUGACCCGCGGUCACAGUCA
rnacentral:lncRNA from 1 species